AGCAGGUCGCUGCAGGAGUGAGUGUCUGCGAAGCCGCGGAUGCCCAGGCAGUUGGAGGGGUCCAGCUGGCUGAGGAGAAAUUUGCAGCAGGCAUCUCUCACUCCAUUGAGCUGCAGAAGACUUGCUGCCGGCAACAGAGUCUGCUCGGGGUGAAAACAAGACAGUGGACAUGAUGAAAUAAAGAUGGAGAAAGCAGUGUAGGCGUACUGCACCAGCUGCUCCAGUGCCUGAGGGUCAAUGUCAUGCAGGGUCACAUGGGUCUGAUGGCUCUCUGACAUUUCAUCUGCACAGAACAUUUUUCAGUCUCAGGUGAAGCGGGAUUGAUGAGCAAUAGGAAAGACCAGGCACCUGCUGACCUGAGACCAGGACAGGGAAGAGAAUAAAGCAUGGAAACACAACAGGAGAUGACAAAAGGCAGGAAGGAAAAGCUUGAACGGGAAGCUGAGGUAAUGUACACAUAGAAAACAAACAUUGAGCUACACAAUACACCUUAAUGCUUGGGAAUCAGUGAGAAACUUAAAGUGCGAGAGCAAAAAAAUACAUCAAAUAUGAAAGGUAAAAUUUGCAAUUUCUUAUGGUGAAGUACUUUCCCCGUUUCGGUUUGUAAACUAUAUUUGUAAUUUCAAUUUAUAAUGGCUGCAACACAUCACUUUCAUUGAUAAACUGCAACCUACUUGUAAACAUAGCGUGGAAGUAUGGACUGCAGGAGGCCAGCACCACUUUGUGCGCCUUGAUCUCCUUGUUGGCCACA